ensembl:lncRNA
UGUGCCUAAGAACAGCCCUUAGCCAUGGUAUAUUGGCCAUAUACCACACCUCCUCGGGCCUUAUUGCUUAAUUAUCUCAUGUUCUGUAUGUGAAUGCUCCAUUGGAUGGGUGAGUGUGAGUGUGUUGUACUUGAGCACGUGUUAGUGAUAGGAAAGUUCAGAAGACUAAGUGUGUCAUGCAGCCGUAGAUUAGUACCCCCAUUAGCAUCAGUGGCUGGCCUGUGUUUGGACUGGCUAUAAACACAGCAAGGGUGAUUGUCCCAGGUACACUCUGUAUCCGUCCCAGCCAGGGUGAUUGUCCCAGGUCCACUCUGUAUCCGUCCCAGCCAGGUGAUAGUCCCAGGUCCACUCUGUAUCCGUCCCAGCCAGGUGAUUGUCCCAGGUCCACUCUGUAUCCGUCCCAGCCAGGUGAUAGUCCCAGGUCCACUCUGUAUCCAUCCCAACCAGGUCACCCGUAAGACAAGUCAGAAUUCAACGUUGUCUGAAUCCAUGUCUGAGGAUGUCGGGAGAUGAUGUGCUAACUGGUCACCAGGGG